GUUCGAAGGGCCACUUUCGGUGCUCGGAAGUGAACAUUUCCGUGUCACUGGGCGAAAGUCCCCGGGCUCCUGGGCAGAGAGUGCCAACCUUAACCAAGGUGGGAACCCCGUGGCGGCACAUUGGCUUCACGGCCAUGUUGCCCGCGGGGUAGAUAGCCAAAGACACAGUUAUGUGGCCAGUGAGGUCUCGCUUCUCCUCUUUGGAGUUGUGCGGCCUCGCCAACGCAACGGGGCUUACUCUUGAGC
rnacentral:RNase_MRP_RNA from 1 species